UGGACAGCAAUAGCUUGGCCUUCCCAUAAUCCCUCACUCCAGGUUUUAUUCCAAUUUGAAGGAAAUGCCUCCUCAAGUUCUUGUGAGUACCAUUUCUGAUACUGUAUACGAACAAGAAGAGCUUCUUAGAUAUCUAUUUUUAAAAGAUAAGAAAUAACUUAUUGUUAUAGAUAUUUUUUGUUCAAUACUUUCUUUCCCCUGUA